rnacentral:rRNA from 1 species
AACGAACGCUGGCGGCGCGCCUAAUACAUGCAAGUCGAGCGAGAAGACGUAGCAAUACGUUUGUAAAGCGGCGAACGGGUGAGGAAUACAUGGGUAACCUACCCUCGAGUGGGGAAUAACUAGCCGAAAGGUUAGCUAAUACCGCGUACGCUCCUUGGACUUCGGUUCAGGGAGGAAAGCGAUACCGUGGGUAUCGCGCUCUUGGAUGGGCUCAUGUCCUAUCAGCUUGUUGGUGAGGAACGGCUCACCAAGGCUUCGACGGGUAGCUGGUCUGAGAGGACGAUCAGCCACACUGGCACUGCGACACGGGCCAGACUCCUACGGGAGGCAGCAGUAAGGAAUAUUGCGCAAUGGGCGAAAGCCUGACGCAGCGACGCCGCGUGGGGGAUGAAGGUCUUCGGAUUGUAAACCCCUUUCGGGAGGGAAGAUGGAAUGGGUAACCAUUCGGACGGUACCUCCAGAAGCAGCCACGGCUAACUUCGUGCC